rnacentral:lncRNA from 1 species
AAAAGCUGCAUCUCAUUCUCAAACUCUGAAAAUAAAAGAAAAAAAGUAAGAAACUCUCACUGCCUUUUGGAUUUCGCAAACUAAGCAGCACGUUUCUUUUUGUAUUUCUGUUUUGCCUUUUGGAUUUGCAUAUAUGUUGUUUCUAAAUGAUUUCCCAGACUACAUAGUAGUUUUAGGUAUUUUAGCUUCUGGAAAUACAUGGGUUUAUGCUUCCAUGCUUGAGUUUUUCGAGUUAAGAAGAAAUUUUGGUUCGGGCAUUUCAACAAACACAUAGAAGGCAAAGUAUAUAACAGAUUGUGGGUGAAAAUUUUAGUUUCAAUUUCGAACACUACAUAGAAGUUCUAUUUCUUUUGGGUCUUGUGCAUUUCGACAAAAAUGCAUGUAGUUUUGCAGUUUAAUGAUUUGGCUAAAUUUUGAUUAAGGUAUCGUAGCUUCUAGAUUUCAACAAAACCAUGGGUUUAUGCUGUCAAGAAAUGUGUAGUUUAACCACUUUUGUUUAUGCUCGAGGUUUUUGGGAUAUUCCAUGUUGUUUUCGGUUUUCAGUUACUGGUUUGAUCGGUUAAGGAUGUUUCCUACUACCUAAUGGCUUGUAGUUUUUGGUUUUGAGUUGCUUUAUAGGUUGUAGAGUCCAUUACUUCAAAAGAUACAGAGGUGUUUAUGAACAAAGGCUUAGCUAGUGAACCUAUGAAGCUCUUUAAACAGAUAAACAAUGUUUUCUGAAUAUUACCAGACUAUUUGAGGAAGCAAGAAUUGUAAGCCAACUUGGGUCUUCUUCAAAUCUGUUUUGUAAGAAGGAAAUACAGAGAAAGAGG